rnacentral:lncRNA from 1 species
ACAUACUGAGUCAUAAAAUGCUUUACUAAAUUGUAAAUGACCCAGCAAAUAGCAUAAAAAAAAUCCUAUGCUCCACAGUAUAAUCCUAUACUUAAUCCUGACUCACCCUAUUGCUCCGACAGGACUCUUGUUUAACCUUUGCUCUGAUACCAAGUUUUGUCACGACCCCCGCCCCGUUCCCGGCGGGCCGCCGCGACGGUCCUAGGGUGCGGGUAGGCAUAAGGUCACCAGCCACC